AGAGUCUCCGCUAAAGGAUCAGCCUAUGUCCUAUCAGCUUGUUGGUGAGGUAAUGGCCCACCAAGGCUAUGACGGGUAUCCGGCCUGAGAGGGUGAUCGGACACACUGGAACUGAGACACGGUCCAGACUCCUACGGGAGGCAGCAGUAGGGAAUAUUGCUCAAUGGGGGAAACCCUGAAGCAGCAACGCCGCGUGGAGGAUGAAGGUUUUAGGAUUGUAAACUCCUUUUGUGAGAGAAGAUAAUGACGGUAUCUCACGAAUAAGCACCGGCUAACUCCGUGCCAGCAGCCGCGGUAAUACGGAGGGUGCAAGCGUUACUCGGAAUCACUGGGCGUAAAGAGUGCGCAGGCGGGCUUGUAAGUCAGAUGUGAAAUCCUGUAGCUUAACUACAGAACUGCAUUUGAAACUAUGAGUCUAGAGUGUGGGAGAGGUAGGUGGAAUUCUUGGUGUAGGGGUAAAAUCCGUAGAUAUCAAGAGGAAUACUCAUUGCGAAGGCGACCUACUGGAACAUUACUGACGCUCAUGCACGAAAGCGUGGGGAGCAAACAGGAUUAGAUACCCUGGUAGUCCACGCCCUAAACGAUGAAUGCUAGUUGUUGUGGAGCUUGUCUCUGCAGUAAUGCAGCUAACGCAUUAAGCAUUCCGCCUGGGGAGUACGGUCGCAAGAUUAAAACUCAAAGGAAUAGACGGGGACCCGCACAAGCGGUGGAGCAUGUGGUUUAAUUCGAAGAUACGCGAAGAACCUUACCUAGGCUUGACAUUGAUAGAAUCUGCUAGAGAUAGCGGAGUGCCCUUUUAGGGAGCUUGAAAACAGGUGCUGCACGGCUGUCGUCAGCUCGUGUCGUGAGAUGUUGGGUUAAGUCCCGCAACGAGCGCAACCCUCGUCCUUAGUUGCUAGCAGUUCGGCUGAGCACUCUAAGGAGACUGCCUUCGUAAGGAGGAGGAAGGUGAGGACGACGUCAAGUCAUCAUGGCCCUUACGCCUAGGGCUACACACGUGCUACAAUGGGGUGCACAAAGAGACGCAAUACUGCGAAGUGGAGCAAAUCUCUAAAACAUCUCUCAGUUCGGAUUGUAGUCUGCAACUCGACUACAUGAAGCUGGAAUCGCUAGUAAUCGCAAAUCAGCCAUGUUGCGGUGAAUACGUUCCCGGGUCUUGUACUCACCGCCCGUCACACCAUGGGAGUUGUAUUCGCCUUAAGUCGGAAUACUAAAUUGGUUACCGCCCACGGCGGAUGCAGCGACUGGGGUGAAGUCGUAACAAGGUAACCGUAGGUGAACCUGC
rnacentral:rRNA from 1 species